AUGGGCGCAAGCCUGAUCCAGCAAUGCCGCGUGGGUGAAGACGGCCUGCGGGUUGUAAAGCCCUUUAGGCGGGGAAGAACGGCCGGGCGUGAAUAGCGCGCGGCUCUGACGUUACCCGCAGAAUAAGCACCGGCUAACUCCGUGCCAGCAGCCGCGGUAAU
rnacentral:rRNA from 1 species